GUCUGCAGUCGUGUCUGCAGGCUGAGGUAAAAUUUUGUAAGUGGAAACUGUCUUGUAAAUUCCGUAAGUGUCUCUAAUGGUAUACGUUGUCGGAUUCGUAAAUUCUUAUUCGAGUGCAUGGAAUCAAAAUUUAAAGAGUUUGGUCGUUUUAAAAGACUCGCCUAUCCAAAAAAGUACGUCUUUUAAAUAUCGGACCAACAUAAAGGAAAAUAAUAAUUAUCUGUUCUUUCGCAAAAUGUUCGUGAGAGCGCGAUGAAAAAGAAGAUAAUUCACAAGCAGAAUUAUACACAUUCAUACAAACAUAAAUAUGUAUGCAUAAAUUUGGUGAACUUCUCUACAUAUGUACAGCCAAAACUGCCAUGGAGGAGAAAAUAGUCAGUAUCGUUGGUACCUAGCAGACCUUGUCUGUGGCGCACCAUGGAUACACGUAUAACAAAACCUUAUUCUAAAUUUUGAUCAGAAUGGCAAUUGUUACAUUAAAGUUGUUGUCCAUCUGGGCGGCGGUAGAGUUUUGUCAACUUUAAAGGAUUUUCCAAUCCUAAAAGCCGCAUCUGCCAUGCACAUGGACUGGAAAAUAAACAGUAUUAUUGGGACCUGGAUGACCAAUAUGUUCUUGGUUAUUUCAUACAAUAGAUAGAUAUUAAAAAAUAUUGAAACUUUUUGCCGAAUUCUGGAUUGGUUCUUAAAUCAACAAAUUUUCAAGGAUCUUAAAUACCUAAUCUGCCACGCCCAUGGAUGGAUCGACAAAGAAUCGCUAUUGUUGGUACCUAGAUGACCUAUAUAUCCUUGGUUAUUCCAUACCAUGAAUAUAGUCCUAGCGAACCCAAAAGGACCAAUUUCUUGCAAAAUGCGCAUGAAAUAGCUCCAAAAUAUGUAUGCUACUUUUUUACAGCCGGCUAGCAACCCCAGCAAAAGCCCCGUCCCCUGGAUGGUUCCUAGUUGACUAUCAUAUCCUUGGUUAUACCAUACCAUCGAUAUAGUCCUUGUGAACCUAAAGGAUCAGAAGCCUGCAUAAUGUGCAUUGAAAUGGUCCAAAAAUAUGUAUGUUUUUCUUUCAGCAGCCCUUGUACAUUAGCUGCCGCUUAACAGCCGACUUUACAGCACUCCUUUUACAUGGCCUGUUACUUAACAGCACUCAUUUGAAAUGAGUUACAUUUUGCCCCGUGCGGGUAUGCAAUGAAAAUUUUUAUUCGAUCUGGUCGACCUUCUGAUCAUUUCUGUUCGCCUGGUAUUUCAGUCAAAUUUUAGUGCAAAUUGGGGACCCAGCCGCCGACAACGGCGCCCCUUUCGGGUAUGCAAUGCAAUUUUUCGUCAACCAAAAAAUGUUUUGGCGACCUUCUGGCCAUUUCUGUUCGCCUGGUAUUUCAGCAGAUUUUUAGAAAAAUCUCGGGGCUUGAAUGUGACUUAAAAAAAAAAAAAAGACAUUGUUAAUUCGUUUUAUAUGCUGAUUUAUUAUGCUUUAUUUUACAAAAUUGUUUAUGUUUAAUGUUAUUUUCCUUCAAAAUUAUGCAAAACAAGGAUAUUUUAUAAAUGUAGCUUAUUUGGGCUUAAAAUGGCUUAAUUAAAGGUCGAUCCUGGUUGCUUGUAACUCGUAGAGGUCCUUGGGAUUUAUUGCAGUCCUUGAUUGGUUAGCCUGAAAAAAUAAAAACACAUUUGAAUUUAAUAAAGCCAAAAUAUACAAUGUAA